rnacentral:rRNA from 1 species
AUGUACAUGCCUACAAUGUUAAUGCACCGGAUCCUAGCAGAACUAUGCAGUUAAACAUGUUUGCACCAGAGUAGUACUGGGAUGGGUGGCCUCCCAGGAAGUCCUAGCAUUUUACAUG